rnacentral:rRNA from 1 species
AAGACGAACCGUGCGAACGUUGUUCGGAAUCACUGGGCUUAAAGGGCGCGUAGGCGGGCCGGACGGUCCGGGGUGAAAUCCCCCCGCUCAACGGGGGAACGGCCUCGGAUACCGCCGGCCUGGAGGGGGGUAGGGGCGAGCGGAACGCUGGGUGGAGCGGUGAAAUGCGUUGAUAUCCAGCGGAACUCCGGUGGCGAAGGCGGCUCGCUGGACCCUCACUGACGCUGAGGCGCGAAAGCCAGGGGAGCGAACG